rnacentral:lncRNA from 1 species
GUUGGAGAUCCCUUCUUUGUGGAGUUUUUUCCCUGUGAGCCUAGAUCUUCAGAUAUGGGAUCCAUCACUGGCCUACCAAGCCAUUGUAAUUUCCAUGAAAUGCCAUGUUCAGUGAAAAAUGCCAUAGUGCAAAUCUCAAGGGGGUGGUGCAAGGGGUUGGAUAUAUUAGCAAGACAUGAGGGAAUAGGAUGCAUGCUUUAAGUAUGAAGACAAAAAGUGGAACUGCAGAAAGAUUGCAUUGGAAGGGAUCUCAGGAGGCUGUAUAAUCUUAUAGUGCAAGAUGGAAUCAAAUCACAGGUAGAUGCUGGCUGAAAUUAUCCUGAAAGAUCUCUAAUGAUAGUAACUUCACACCCUCAAUAAGCAAUCUGUUUGAGGGCUCCAAUAAUGUAGUUUUUUUAGGCUGGCUUUUUAGUUCUAAUCAUAAAUACAGUAUGAUACUGCAGGAGGAAAACUGGUGGAUUUUAGAGGAGAAACAUUCAUGCAAAACACUACAAUUUUUUCCUGGCAAGCAGAAACGUUGUUUCUCUCCAUUUAUUGCUAUCAUGAACCAUCCAGCUAGGAUUUACCCAUACCUUAGUAUGUGUGUGUAUGUGUGUGAAUGCACGUAUGUAAAUGUAAAGACUGUAAUAGGACUGUGUCCUUCAGGGAAAAAAAAAAAGCUACUACUAAAUAUUGCUAGAGAUUUGAUAUUCCUGAAGAUUGAGGGUCAGGAAUGUGGAGAUUCUGUUUGGGGCAAUUCUCUUAGCAAAAGUUUGAACUUGUUUGUAUAUCUCUUUCUUCAGCUUUAGAGAUGAUAUAAUUCUUAGAAGUGCUGUGGGGCAUAAAGGAUCUGACAUUUACAAAAUGUUUGUGCUUCUGUCUCACUCUCCAUCUCAGUUUCUCAAUUAUUUUGCUUUGCUUAUACCUGGCUGGUUUUACUGUGUUCAGCAAAAGCAAUGGAAUUGUAUUUAAUGUUAAAUACUUGUGUUAAACUGCAUAUAAAAAUGUUUCAUGUAGAACAUACAUUGCAGAUGUGUGCUAAUGGUAAUUUUUCCUGUUAUGUGCUAUGUACUGACCAUAUUUGGAGACUGUAUUAUAUUACU